CUCCCAGAGAGUUAUAUCAACCUGAUUAGUUUAUCUUUAUAAAUGAAAAGGAAUUCGAAGAAAGGAGAA
rnacentral:ncRNA from 1 species